GAUUUAUUAGUAUAGAUAGUAUAUUUAACUUCCAAUUAAAAGGAUCAUACUUGAAUAAAUCA
rnacentral:tRNA from 1 species